GGGCUAAGGAGGUCUUUGCUAUUUCUCUCAUAAACUAUAUAUCAAAACAAGAGUAUUACAUGCAUUAUUUGUCAACACAUAAAUAGUUCAAUGAAAAGCAACACAUGCUGAAAACAGUUAUCUAUUAAACAGAUGCAUGUAGUCAAUGUGGGAGACAGAGAAAUGAUUGUUACUUUGGAUUUGCGAACUCAACAUGGAUUUGAAAAUGCAUUGCUGAUAAAAAAACUAAACAACCAAAAACAAAAAUAAGACCUACUUAUAAUGCUACAGCACAGUCUG